rnacentral:tRNA from 1 species
GCCUGGCUGGCUCAGUCAGUAGAGCGUGCAACUCUUGAUCUCAAAGUUGUGAGUUGAAGCCUUAUGUUGGGCA